GGUUGGCUUAUGGCCCUAAUGCUCACUGGUGUUUUUAUUUUGCUGACCUGGACCUUAUUAAGCUGGGUGACGUCUGACUCGCCAUUUUCAUUCAGGUAAUUCAAGUCUCUGUUGCUGGAAACACCUGUGAUGUUGACAUCUGUCCUCCAUGCAUUUCUGUCUGUCUACAACCAGCUACACACCUAUUAGCUCUGAUGUGGAAAACUGGAUGACCACACUGAUGGAGUCCCAAUACCAA